rnacentral:tRNA from 1 species
CGUUAGCUCAGUUGGUAGAGCAUCUGACUUUUAAUCAGAGGGUCGCUGGUUCGAACCCAGCACG